UACGUAGCGUGCAAGCGUUAAUCGGAAUUACUGGGCGUAAAGCGUGCGCAGGCGGUUUUGUAAGUCUGACGUGAAAGCCCCGGGCUCAACCUGGGAAUUGCGUUGGAGACUGCAAGGCUUGAAUCUGGCAGAGGGGGGUAGAAUUCCACGUGUAGCAGUGAAAUGCGUAGAGAUGUGGAGGAACACCGAUGGCGAAGGCAGCCCCCUGGGUCAAGAUUGACGCUCAUGCACGAAAGCGUGGGGAGCAAACAGG
rnacentral:rRNA from 1 species